rnacentral:misc_RNA from 1 species
CUUGGUACAUUGCCUUAUAUUUGUUGUUGUUUGUUGCAACAUUGGUUCAAUAUUUUGUCACGUCUGGUUCUUCUCCUGGUUAUGUCCUGGAUGCAAUGAGGAUUCUAAAUGAGAAAAAUGCUGCAGUUUCAAGAGCAUCAAUGACUUCAAAACAGCCUGUUUCAAGUAAAAAUGGAAGCGUGAUUGUCACUGUGGAUGGGAGCCAGUCAGGAAGGAAUCCUCCACGAAGUAAUGUAACAUCUUGGAUGAAGCUUGUUCUGGACAUGUAUCCUCCUGGAACAUCUAUUAGAACUUUGACAUGUACCUACUGCAAUGUUGAACAGCCUCUGCGAGCAAAGCAUUGCCAUGAUUGUGACAA